AAAAAAAAAGUUAUAUCGCCCCUCCCUUCUUACCUUUAGCCUGGGAGGGGGGGAGUGGUGAGAGUAAACUCUGCAGGGCUAGACUUCACUCUCGCGAGAUCUGAGCGUUGCCGUGGUAACUGUGGCAACGCUCCGACCUUGCGAGAGGAACCCGGUGGAGCUGCUGGCUAGCGCAGUCCUCUCCUGCCUGCCUCCCCAGCCGGCGGCGGUAUAUCAGUGCCUGUGGACCGGUGAGGGAGAUCUUUGAUCUCCACACCUGCUCACAAAGACACACAGCAGGGCCGGCGCUUAAAUAGCGCCGGCUCUGCAUAAGCCUACAGGGGAGCUCCUGUGAUUUGCCCGGUAUGCCAGAUGGCCAGUCUGGGCCUGAUUGUCACUUAUUUAAACCUGUAGCUUUAGUGUAAGGGAAGCAUACCAAUGAAUAUAUUUGCGGCCCACCUGUCCUGGAGCCACUUUGUGUUGUGGCUGCAGCCAGCUGCAAGACAGGAAAGAUAUAGCCUGUCUGAUCCUUGCCUACCCUCCCAAGGCUCAUCGCGUACUCCCGCAGACCAGCCAUUACCCCUUCCCUUCUGCUCACAGUGCCAAAGGAGUUUCUGGGGGGCAGUGUAUUAGAAUGGGUGGAGGGGGCAGUGCAUUAGAUUAGGUCUGCAUGGAGGUGCUAAACACUCCCCAUCUAGAUGCUGAUUGGCUGCAUAGGCCACAGCAUACAUUCACCAUUUCAGUCCCAUUACCAAACUUUUCUUAAUAUGUCAAGGUAGUUGGACUGAAACAUGGAUUAUAUGCAAAUGCACGUCUCCUUAAAAUAAAUUAGCUCUUUUGUUUACUUUGAAGCUGUACGAGCGUGAGGACGUCC